rnacentral:lncRNA from 1 species
AAAUUUUAAAAUAGUUUUGAGAUUUGAUUUCAGCAGAGGUACACAAACACUAAAACUAAGUUAUCAUCUAAUAUUUUGUAUUUUUCUAACUUGAAAAAUAGGUCACGAUCUAGAUCACAUUCCCGAUCCAGGGGAAGGCGAUACUCUCGCUCACGUAGUAGGAGCCGCGGUAGGAGGUCAAGAUCAGCAUCUCCUCGACGAUCAAGGUCCGUGUCUCUUCGUAGAUCAAGAUCAGCUUCACUCAGAAGAUCUAGGUCUGGUUCUAUAAUAGGAUCGAGGUAUUUCCAGUAUGUAGCACAUUUUUCCUGCUUACUAGUAGAUGGAUUGUCGUGUCUUUAGUA